CCCCAAGAGUGUAUAACGAUGUCUUAAAAAAAAGUUUUUAAAGUUUAAUUUUUUAAGGUUACGAAUUCGUAGGUUUUAAGAGAAAGAACAAAAUAUCUAGAACUUUGUUUUCAACAAGAUCAUAGUUGAUCCUUUGUGUACGCAUUUUCAGCCAUGAUAAUUUUAGGUGCUAAGCUCAAAAUGUGAAACUGAAUUUCCCAUCUGUCUUUAAUUGUUGUUGUUGUUAACAGCACCAGCUAGAUCAAAACAUUGCGCUUUAUCUCAUUCUUCAUACACAGGUAAUGCGGAAUCCUGUAGUUUAUAGUCUGAAAUAUUCCGGAACUUUACUGCCAGUGGCUCAUUAUGCCUCACCUGGAUCACUGCGAUAUCCUUCUAACUAGUUUUCCUCCUUGAGUUUUCUGCCACUCAGGUUGUUCCGUGUCUUGGCUGUUGUGAAUAGUGCUGCUAUGGACAUAGGGGGAGGCGCACCUGUCCUGACGAUGUCCCUGGUGAUACCUGCGAUUGCUUCGCUCACUUACCUGUUACUUUCAAAAACUUGCUUCCCAUUCCCAAACCUUGGACUUGAUAUAGUUCCCUACCAUGGAAGUGGGAGGAGCAAAACAAAGUAUUUAAAAUUGUCUGGAGUAUAUGUCCUGGUGUGGGAACAGGCAAAAAUACAGGCACUGUGUGUGCACAGACAGAGCUGCUACCAGGUGGGGUUCUGGAUAGCUCCCCUGAGGAAUAGCAAUUUGCGUUGUGUGACAGUAAACUAAUUUUAAAUUUUAUUUGUGAAAUGGAGUGCUCUUUUCUAAUUUCAAAAGGGCACCAUAUGGGCCAGUAGCAACCCUGCUUCAGAGCAGGCUCUGGAGUUAGACAGCUGUACAACUUACCAUCUGUGAAGACAUGGGCUAAGUUUUUUAUCUUUCCCUGAGAUAUAUAUAUAUAUAUAUAUAUAUCUGAAACACUCUGCUGCACACUUGAAACCAACACCUUGUAAAUUAACUACACUUCAAUAAAAAUAACCAAUAUUGAAAAUAAUAUACAAUAUGAAUGUAAGUCACAUUACUGUUAUCAGUAGCAAACAUUUAUUAAGAGCCAACUCUGAACAUCAUACCAUACUAAAACAAGCCUUUAUUUGUCUGUGCUUUCCGUAUCGCUUACUGAUCCAUUUCUCUGCUCUCCUUUGCAACCAAACUCCCCCCCAAAAGUUGACUAUACUCUUCCGAAUCCCUCUCCCCCUCUCCUCUCACACUGUCUCCCAUCAAGCUUUCACUGCCAUCAUCCCGUCCAAACUAUGCUGUCAAGUUGACCAAUGACCCCCAUGUCACCAAAUCUAAUUGUCUCUUCUCAGUGCUCAUCUUUUCAGCAAAAGUUGAUUAUUAUCUUCCUCUUGAUAAAACAUUUUUUUCCUCUUGUUUUCCAGCACACCACACUUUCAGAUUUCCUCCUACUUGAUUGGUUGUUCCUUCUGCAGUCUCCUUGGCUGCUUCCACUUCUUCCAAACCUCUCUCAUCACUAAUGGGCUUUGGUCCUAGGUUUUUCUGUCCCUCCUUCUCUCUCUCCCUCCCACUCACACAUAAAAAGCUGUACAUAUUUAACAUAUACAAUUUGAUACUACUCUUCUCUUUAGCUAUACUCACUCCUUUGGUGAUCUCAUGCAGCCCAAUAUCAUCCCAUUAGUCAGUGACAGAGCAGAGACCCCAACCCAAGCAGUCUAAUGGGAACCUGUGCUCUUAAAUCAUGGUACUUUGACGUGUACAUGUGUUCAGAUACGUCUAGUAUGAGUCAUGUUUAUUAAAUAUACAUAUGUGAAAAAAAAGAAAAAAAUAUAUACAUAUGAAUUUGUAAGAAAGAUACCUGAAAGAAUAGAUACCAAAUAUAUUUGCAUUGUGAUCUCUGGAUGGGUAAAUUAUGUCUUGAUGUUUUUCUUUUUUUUGGUUUUUCUGUAUAUUUUACGUCUUCAACAAUGAAAAUAUAGUACUUUUGUCAUAAGGAAAACAUUUUAACAGAUUUUUAAAAUUCAGAAUUCCAAAUAAACUUCAUUUCCUUUAA